UACAGAGGGUGCAAGCGUUAAUCGGAGUGACUGGGCGUAAAGGGCGCGUAGGCGGUGAUAUGAGUGUGAUGUGAAAGCCCUGGGCUUAACCCGGGAAGGGCAUCGCAAACGAUAUGACUGGAGUAUAAGAGAGGGUGGCGGAAUUUCCGGUGUAGCGGUGAAAUGCGUAGAGAUCGGAAGGAACGUCAAUGGCGAAGGCAGCCACCUGGCUUGAUACUGACGCUGAGGCGCGAAAGCGUGGGGAGCGAACAGG
rnacentral:rRNA from 1 species